rnacentral:rRNA from 1 species
AUUGAACGCUAGCGGGAUGCCUUACACAUGCAAGUCGAACGGAGUGGCGAACGGGUGAGUAAUGUAUCGGAACGUGCCCAGUCGCGGGGGAUAACUACGCGAAAGCGUAGCUAAUACCGCAUACUAUUGGAGCGGCCGAUACCGGCUUAGCGAUUUGGUGGGGUAACGGCGCACCAAGGCGACGAUCCGUAGCUGGUUUGAGAGGACGACCAGCCACACUGGGACGUAGACACGGCCCAGACUCCUACGGGAGGCAGCAGUGGGGAAGUUUGGACAAUGGGGGAAACCCUGAUCCAGCCAUCCCGCGUGUGAGAUGAAGGCCUUCGGGUUGUAAAGUACUUUCAGCGAGGAGGCGUUACUCGCAGAAGAAGCACCGGCUAACUCCGUGCCAGCAGCCGCGGUAAUAC